GAUGAACGCUGGCGGCGUGCCUAAUACAUGCAAGUCGAGCGAACAGACGAGGAGCUUGCUCCUCUGACGUUAGCGGCGGACGGGUGAGUAACACGUGGAUAACCUACCUAUAAGACUGGGAUAACUUCGGGAAACCGGAGCUAAUACCGGAUAAUAUAUUGAACCGCAUGGUUCAAUAGUGAAAGACGGUUUUGCUGUCUCUUAUAGAUGGAUCCGCGCCGCAUUAGCUAGUUGGUAAGGUAACGGCUUACCAAGGCAACGAUGCGUAGCCGACCUGAGAGGGGGAUCGGCCACACUGGAACUGAGACACGGUCCAGACUCCUACGGGAGGCAGCAGUAGGGAAUCUUCCGCAAUGGGCGAAAGCCUGACGGAGCAACGCCGCGUGAGUGAUGAAGGUCUUCGGAUCGUAAAACUCUGUUAUUAGGGAAGAACAAAUGUGUAAGUAACUAUGCACGUCUUGACGGUACCUAAUCAGAAAGCCACGGCUAACUACGUG
rnacentral:rRNA from 1 species